rnacentral:misc_RNA from 1 species
GAAAUGCGAUAUGUAGUGUGAAUUGCAGAAUUCAGUGAAUCAUCGAAUCUUUGAACGCACAUUGCGCCCUUUGGUAUUCCUUAGGGCAUGCCUGUUCGAGCGUCAUCUAAACCUUCAAGCCCUGCUUGGUGUUGGGUGCCUGUCCCGCCUCCGCGCGCGGACUCACCUCAAAUCCAUUGGCGGCCCCCGCGUCGGCCACGAGCGCAGCAGAAACGCGAACUCGUGAGCCCGUCCGGGCGGCUCCCAGAAGCUACACCCACCCAGUUUGACCUCGGAUCAGGUAGGGAUACCCGCUGAACUUAAGC